rnacentral:tRNA from 1 species
UAGCUUAGAUGGUAAAGAAUCUGUCUGCAAUGCAGAAGACCGGGGUUCGAUCCCUG